rnacentral:rRNA from 1 species
AUCGGUACGGGUUGUGGGAGCAAGAGCCCGGAGAUGGAUUCUGAGACACGAAUCCAGGCCCUACGGGGCGCAGCAGGCGCGAAAACUUUACAAUGCGAGAAAUCGUGAUAAGGGAACCCCGAGUGCCCGUAAAUUCGGGCUGUCCGCCAGUGCAAAAAACUGGUGAAGAAAGAGCCGGGCAAGACCGGUGCCAGCCGCCGCGGUAAUACCGGCGGCUCGAGUGGUGGCCACUAUUACUGGGCUUAAAGCGUCCGUAGCUUGGUUGUUAAGUCUCCUGGGAAAUCCAUCGGCUCAACCGAUGGGCGUUCAGGAGAUACUGGCAACCUAGGGACCGGGAGAGGUGAGAGGUACUCCAGGGGUAGGAGUGAAAUCCUGUAAUCCUUGGGGGACCACCUGUGGCGAAGGCGUCUCACUAGAACGGCUCCGACAGUGAGGGACGAAAGCUGGGGGAGCAAACCGGAUUAGAUACCCGGGUAGUCCCAGCUGUAAACUAUGCGCGUUAGGUG